rnacentral:rRNA from 1 species
GGUACUGUCAAAACGAAGGGCUAUUAACCAAUCGUCGUUUCAUCCCACAUGACAGGACUUUACGUACCGAAAUACUUCAUCGUCCACGCGGCGUCGCUCGGUCAGGGUUUCCCCCAUUGCCGAAGCCUCUCGA